CCCUGCCUGGCUCCCUGUAUGCCACCUGAGAAGCCCACCGAAGUGUUUCGGCAGGAUUCCUAGCUGGCGUGCGGGGAGCCAUGCAGAG
rfam:Selaginella moellendorffii unplaced genomic scaffold SELMOscaffold_24, whole genome shotgun sequence.